rnacentral:tRNA from 1 species
GGGGAUGUGGCUCCAUGAUAGAGCACUUGCCUGGCAUGCAUGAGGCCCUGGGUUCAAUCCCCAGGAAGCCUG